GGGUUAGGGUUAGGGUUAGGUUUGGGUUAGGGCGCUCCCUCAAGCGCCAUGCAAAACUGCAUGGGGCUAGAGGAGAGGAGGGCACGGGCACAAGCAAUUAAAAUACGUUAUAAACUUUUAUCACCAUAAAAUCAUAAAAUCAAUGAAAUAAAAUACAUAAAAGGAAUAAAAUAAAUGAAAGGAAUAAAAUAUAGGCUGAGUGGUUAAGGUUAGGAGAGGGGGAGGGAAGAGGUUAUGUUAAGGAUUUAAAACAGGAUAUGUUGUAGGAAGGCUUUGGUGAGGACCCGGACGAAUAGAUGGGUCCUCGUUGAGGCCAUGGGGGGCUGUGGUGGACAGCCUAUAAAUCCACCUCCGUUCCGCAGCUCUCCUCUGGCCCAGAGACCAACUGGCGUUGGUCUCGAGCCCUGACAAUGCUCCUGCAACGUCUGCACUGUAUGGCAUAGACGACGUUGCAGGAGAGUAGUGUGAAGGACUGCGUGAUGGGGACACCGGCACGAGAGCUGGAGAUGUACUUGAGGUUUGAAAAGGAGGACUGGCCGGUCUGGUUGGAAGAGGGCGAUCACUUCCCCUUUAAUGGUCCGAAGGAAGCGUUUGGAGUAGCC